rnacentral:rRNA from 1 species
GAUGAACGCUGGCGGCGUGCUUAACACAUGCAAGUCGAACGAUGAAGCCCAGCUUGCUGGGUGGAUUAGUGGCGAACGGGUGAGUAAUACGUGAGUAACCUGCCCUUAACUCUGGGAUAAGCCUGGGAAACUGGGUCUAAUACCGGAUAGGAGCGCCUACCGCAUGGUGGGUGUUGGAAAGAUUUAUCGGUUUUGGAUGGACUCGCGGCCUAUCAGCUUGUUGGUGAGGUAAUGGCUCACCAAGGCGACGACGGGUAGCCGGCCUGAGAGGGUGACCGGCCACACUGGGACUGAGACACGGCCCAGACUCCUACGGGAGGCAGCAGUGGGGAAUAUUGCACAAUGGGCGAAAGCCUGAUGCAGCGACGCCGCGUGAGGGAUGACGGCCUUCGGGUUGUAAACCUCUUUCAGUAGGGAAGAAGCGAAAGUGACGGUACCUGCAGAAGAAGCACCGGCUAACUACGUG